GAGUUUGAUCCUGGCUCAGGAUGAACGCUAGCGGCAGGCUUAACACAUGCAAGUCGAGGGGUAACAGGAGUGCUUGCACUUGCUGACGACCGGCGCACGGGUGCGUAACGCGUAUACUAUCUACCUUGUACUAGGGGAUAGCCUUUAGAAAUGAAGAUUAAUACCCUAUAGUCUAUUUGAGUGGCAUCAUUUAAAUAGUAAAGGUUACGGUACAAGAUGAGUAUGCGUCCUAUUAGUUAGUUGGUAAGGUAACGGCUUACCAAGACAACGAUAGGUAGGGGCCCUGAGAGGGGGAUCCCCCACACUGGUACUGAGACACGGACCAGACUCCUACGGGAGGCAGCAGUGAGGAAUAUUGGACAAUGGGCGAGAGCCUGAUCCAGCCAUGCCGCGUGCAGGAAGACGGCCCUAUGGGUUGUAAACUGCUUUUAUACAGGAAGAAACACUCCCUCGUGAGGGAGCUUGACGGUACUGUAAGAAUAAGGACCGGCUAACUCCGUGCCAGCAGCCGCGGUAAUACGGAGGGUCCGAGCGUCAUCCGGAAUCAUUGGGUUUAAAGGGUCCGUAGGCGGGCAGCUCAGUCAGUGGUGAAGGUUUGCAGCUCAACUGUAAAAUUGCCAUUGAUACUGGUUGUCUUGAAUUAAUGUGAAGUGGUUAAAAUAAGUAGUGUAGCGGUGAAAUGCAUAGAUAUUACUUAGAAUACCAAUUGCGAAGGCAGAUCACUAACAUUAUAUUGACGCUGAUGGACGAAAGCGUGGGGAGCGAACAGGAUUAGAUACCCUGGUAGUCCACGCCGUAAACGAUGGAUACUAGCUGUUCGGUAGCAAUACUGAGUGGCUAAGCGAAAGUGAUAAGUAUCCCACCUGGGGAGUACGUUCGCAAGAAUGAAACUC
rnacentral:rRNA from 1 species